rnacentral:lncRNA from 1 species
GUACCUUAAUAUUCCCAUGUUGAUAGAUUACUGUGUGAGGGAAAAGAGUUUGUGAUCUGAGGCCAAGUUGCUGAUGGAACUGAGUCUGUUCCAAGGGAGGUUGAAAUCCUUCAGACCUGAGGAUGCUGAGCAAGUCAUGAUGAUGUUCACCACAAUCUUCCCUCAGGUCCACUUCCUGGUAUAAAUCUGGGAACUCCUCCUCCAGGAUUGGGGUGGGGCUUUUGGGGAAACUGUUAAAGUGGAAGGUUGGGAGAUGAGUUACAGCCCAUACUGCUACAGAUAGGCCUUAAUUGAUACUCAUGGCUUUUCCCUCUACCCUUCAUUCUAGAUUUCUCUCACUUAUGGUCUCAGUGGCUUAGCUGAGCAUAACCCAGACCUUCAUGUGUAGGUGUUCCAUGGUUUCGAUGUCCUUUUCAGACUGUGGCAGCUAAACUUGUCAAUAUACCUUCAAAGUUGAAGAGUCCCAAAAGGCACACAGACACACCCCUUGCAUGCCAAACAUUCCUCCUUGGCCUCCUGUAGUAUAAAAGCAGCUGAGCCUUCUAAUUAACUAGUGUCAAUCACUCCUACCUGGAUGAUGACUUCUGCCUUUUCUGCUAUCUCUUGGCUAAGGUACCCAAGAAACAACUGUAACUAACAUUUCAACAGGACUGCUGCUGUGUUCCCUGGGAAAAGCAUUGUCCCUUUUGGAAACAGCAAGAACAGGAACAAUUUCCCAAGUUGCAAGAACAGGAACAAUUUCCCAAGUUGCAAGAACAGGAACAAUUUCCCAAGUAGGUCACUUUGAAACUCCAGCUUCUGCCCCUGUCAUCUCCUUGUUGAGAUACCCACACCACAGAAAAGUCAUUGACUUAAAGUGCACACAGCAUCCUGGAGGAUUGUAGCCCACCUCGUGAGGUACUGCCUGUGGGCUGCUGCUUUAGUUGUGCCUGCAAAAUAACACUCCAUUGCACUACCAGGCCCAUAGCUUUUGUGGUGCAGUAUGACAUCACCAGUGGACUUCAUUGCCUUGUGUCUACUCUCACACCUCCUUUGUUAUAAAAUGGGUCCCUUGGGCUGAUGUAGCAUGAGAUGAGACACCAUUAGUCAGAUACUCUGAGCAGGAAAGGCACAUCCAAAUUCAGAAUAUGUGUCUGUUUCUUACUGAAACAAAUGGCUGCUUUUUCCAGGAUCAAACAGGCCC